CUAGACAUGGGAGAGUCAGGUUCAGAGGUACAUCUGCAAGUUUGUAAUAUAGGUAAACUUGCAUGGUGGAAAUUUGGUGUGCAGAUUACUUCAUCAUUCAGUUUUCAGGAAUUGCAAAGUCUGAGAUUUUAUUCUGCUUGCAAGCUCACAAUUUAGCCAGCCACUGUUUCAUAGAUGUGGACAGAAGCUGCAACUCCUGGGCC